UACGGGUCCUCAUAGUGGAGUCGAUUUAGUUGGUUAAAGGAAACGCUGUAUCCAUCAGGCACCACGAACUGCACAGAUGAGGUAGCUAUUGUAUUGGUUGUUGUAAGUAACUUACUACUAACCUCUCGCUCGAGGUCAAAUCACCCGGACACUGAUUAUCAAUGUAGAAGGCACCACCGUUCACACUGAUGGCAACGAGACCACCCCUCUCCUGGGAAAUAGGAGGCAAGGGAUAAAGGGGCCUCCUUCAUCUGUCUUCAGUCUGAUGAAGGUCAUCAUGGGCAGUGCCAUCCUGGACCUGGCCUACGCAAUGGCCAACACCGGUAUAGUGAGCUUCGGUUGCUGCUAGUGUCCAGUCUGGCAGCUUACUCUAUACACCUCCUACUGAUGCUGUGUGAUCUAACAGGGUGGCCUGGUAUGAAGAUGGCAGGAUGUUACUGAUUCUGAUGACUUGUGAGGUUCCUCUGGCUCUACUGACCCAAGAUUGGAGAGUGGCACAGUUUGGUCUCAUCUGGUACACUUGUCCUUAAAUCUAUAUGAUAGACAUGUGUAUCACCAUCUUUGUCCUUCCACCCUCCAGGAUUCCGGGCUACACCAGCAGCCUCCUCUUCAUGCUCAUCUUCUUAGUUGUGGUUGUGGUCAAGAAAUGGGUACAUCCCCUGCCCCCUACCAAGCAAUGUGACCAGGUGUAACAACCACAUCACAAACGGCCCUAAUCACACACACCAAAUACUGAAAGUGACAUGUAGGCUGUGAGCUUCACUUCAGGUGGCAGGUAGCCUAGCGGUUAACAGCGUUGGGCCUGUAACCGAAAGGUCGAUGUUUUGAAUACCCGAGCCGCCAAAAUAUGGAAAAAUCUGCUUCUGAGCAAGGCAGUUAACCCCCAACAAAAACUGUUCCCAGGGCACCGAUGACGUGGACGUCGAUUUAAGGAAGCCCCCUGCACCUCUCUGAUUCAGAGGGAUUGGGUUAAAUGGGGAAGACACAUUUCAGUUCAAUGCAUUCAGUUCUGCAACUGACUAGGUUUUCUCUUUCAUACAUUUUUUUGUAUCUAACUGCCACAGUGACUGGUGGACCAAAAUGUUAAUUUCCCACCCUGGUAACACCUACCCUCGAGUCCUGGUUGUAGGAUUAGGCAGGAAUCCUGGAGAUUGCGUUUCUGAAUGGGAGGCUUUGGUGGCUGACUGAGCCAGUUAUGUAUUGACGAAUACCAGAGAAUGCUGCACUGUGACUGGUGCCAGUCCUGAAGGGGAGGAAGUACUUACGACCCUGCCAGUGCCAGGAAGUGAACUUUGACCUUGUUGGAUAUAACAGCAGCACUAUUGCUUCCUUGUAUACAGUCAUGGCUGUGGGUCCAUUUAAAUGGCUGUUGUUUAGUUUCCUCCGUAGUCAAGACUAUGGAAUUCAAUCUACCCCAAAGACACUCGUAUUUCCAACCACCCUUUACAACUCCUCUCAUUUCUUAAACAUUAGAAAUGAACAAGAGUGAAAUUAACAUUGGUGCAUUUAAUUGAAUUUUUCCAGAUAUCGAAUUCCUUCAGAUUUGGAAUGUACGCCCAAACUCUCACCCAGUAAGGUAUAUAUGCAUCGGUGCCAUUUUAUGAUGAGUGAGGACAAUAGAAUAAAAAAACAUUAUGCCCAUGGCCUUAUUUCUAUUACAGCACAUUGGAUGACUGUCAUUCAUAUUCCAUUCACUCCGCUGAAUGUAACAUCGAUAUGUUUCGGCUACUACAUGAUACUCAAAUGUUCCCUAUACCCAUCAUGAGGUUGCUACAACCUAGCUUAUGAAUGAAACUUUCCAACAUAAGUGCACAGGUCGAGAGAAAUUUGAGUAAUCAAGGUGACAGACAUUGACACAUUCAAUACCGCCUUGCACACUUGUCUGCAUCUAGCUGAUCUAAGGUGUAAUCAUUAGUCCUGCAGUUGCAAACA